CCCCUGCUCAUGGCCAGGACCCCAUUUAGCCCAGCCCAGUGAUCCUGCAGGAUGCUGGUCCACAGGCACACCUAAUGCCCACCGAGGUGUGAAGGACCCCGCUCAGUAACCUCCAGGUCACGGAGAGGUUUCUGCAAGGACCUAUUUACAUCCAGUUUUCACCUGGAACAAAAGACCUUGGAAAAUGUCGAAGAGCAGGCCUGCUGCGUGGAGGCUGGACACAGCACAGGACUCUGCAGAUGGAAACAAGGGCAGAGGUCUGGCUUACCAAAUGCAGGAUGUUGAAGAAGAGGGCUGCUGUGCUCCAGACUCAGAAAAGCCACACCAUCCUCUCUGUCCCUCUACCCCCCCCCGACAUUUAUCCACAAUGCUGCUGCCUCUUUCAGAGGAAGAAUGAACAGUUUCAAACGCACCUUCUCUACGCUGCUGUUCAAAUUUUGGCCUGUGCUUUGCCCACCUCCGCCACGAGCACCUGCAGGCCCCUGCCUGCUGCACGUCCCUGUACUCGCGGCCCCCCCGCGCCCGUCCCCGCGCCGUACCGCAGCUCCCCCGCUCCAUGCAGGUCCCAGGGGUGCUGCGGCAUGCGAGGCGCCUGCCGGGGCAGCCGCGGGUGGAAGCCAGCCGAAAGGACGUGCGAGGAGCUGCCCGUGGGCAGCAUGCUGCGGCAGCGAGGCCACCAAGGGCUUCGCCUCCAGGAGCCUGAAGGGAAGCCCACGUGCGGGCAGGGGCAGCACACGCCCAGGGCCUGGCGGGCAGCGUCGCUCCUCCCCAGAGGUUGGCAGGGCUGGGUGCCUGUGGAAGGGCUGCCUUGGGGACCACACAGCUGUUCAUUGCCCUCGUGCAGCAAUGCCUAA
ensembl:lncRNA